rnacentral:rRNA from 1 species
AGCAGCCGCGGUAAUUCCAGCUCCAAUAGCGUAUAUUAAAGUUGCUGCAGUUAAAAAGCUCGUAGUUGAAUUUCGGGACCAUCAUGUCGGUCGUGCCUAGGUACGUACUGGCAUUGUUGGUUUCUCCCUUCUGACGAACCAUGAUGUCAUUUAUUUGGUGUUGUGGGGAAUCAGGACUGUUACUUUGAAAAAAUUAGAGUGUUUAAAGCAGGCUCACGCUUGAAUACAUUAGCAUGGAAUAAUGAAAUAGGACGUUUGAUUCUAUUUUGUUGGUUUCUAGGAUCGACGUAAUGAUUAAUAGGGAUAGUUGGGGGCAUUAGUAUUCAAUUGUCAGAGGUGAAAUUCUUGGAUUUAUUGAAGACUAACUACUGCGAAAGCAUUUGCCAAGGAUGUUUUCAUUAAUCAAGAACGAAAGUUAGGGGAUCGAAGACGAUCAGAUACCGUCGUAGU